UACGGAGGGGGCUAGCGUUGUUCGGAAUUACUGGGCGUAAAGCGCACGUAGGCGGCUUUGUAAGUCAGAGGUGAAAUCCCAGUGCUCAACACUGGAACUGCCUUUGAGACUGCAUCGCUUGAAUCCAGGAGAGGUGAGUGGAAUUCCGAGUGUAGAGGUGAAAUUCGUAGAUAUUCGGAAGAACACCAGUGGCGAAGGCGACAUACUGGUCCGUUACUGACGCUGAGGCUCGAAAGCGUGGGGAGCAAACAGG
rnacentral:rRNA from 1 species